UUAUCACCGAUUGCAUACGUGUGAACAUAUUGUAGUGAUGACUAAGCUUGUUUACAACAACCAAUAGAAAUUGUUCACGUUUGAUAGCUAAUGUUAUCCUACAAAAAAACUGUUCCAUGUUGGUUGUAGCUCAUGAAAAUGAAACUUUUGCUUCUUAUUAUGGUAUGUUUUGCAGUUCUCGUGACUACAACAGAAAGCUGCCAUUGUGGUAAGACAAUGUUUCGAUGCAUCAAUCAAUCUUAUUGUUGCGAUAAAUACAAUUGCAUAUUUGGAGAUAAAGGUGGGCACUGCAUUCCUGAAGGAAAGAGGAAAUAAAAAAUUAUAAAUUACUUUCAUUCUUUUACAUUUAUUCAGUUUAUAACAAUGCUUUAAAUUUUAAUGUAUACAUGUCUUUUGUUGUUCGUAUGUUUAUUCGAAAAGAUGCCCUGUUCUACCUACGUCGUUUUCUAUAAUGGUGACCCGUCUAAAGAGCGCACGACAAAAGAGCGCCGACAUAAGAGCGCAGACAAAAAAG